rnacentral:rRNA from 1 species
CUACGGGGUGCUCCAGUGGGGAAUAUUGCACAAUGGGCGCAAGCCUGAUGCAGCCAUGCCGCGUGUAUGAAGAAGGCCUUCGGGUUGUAAAGUACUUUCAGCGGGGAGGAAGGGAGUAAAGUUAAUACCUUUGCUCAUUGACGUUACCCGCAGAGGAAGCACCGGCUAACUCCGUGCCAGCAGCCGCGGUAAUACGGAGGGUGCAAGCGUUAAUCGGAAUUACUGGGCGUAAAGCGCACGCAGGCGGUUUGUUAAGUCAGAUGUGAAAUCCCCGGGCUCAACCUGGGAACUGCAUCUGAUACUGGCAAGCUUGAGUCUCGUAGAGGGGGGUAGAAUUCCAGGUGUAGCGGUGAAAUGCGUAGAGAUCAGGAGGAAUACCGGUGGCGAAGGCGGCCCCCUGGACGAAGACUGACGCUCAGGUGCGAAAGCGUGGGGAGCAAACAGGAUUAGAUACCCUUGUAGUC